rnacentral:rRNA from 1 species
CAACUAGGAUGUUGGCUCAGAAGCAGCCAUACAUUCAAAGAGUGCGUAAUAGCUCACUAGUCGAGAGGUCCUGCGCCGAAAAUGUCCGGGGCUAAAUCACGACACCGAAGCUUAGGAAUCGAGAAAUUGGUAGAGGAGCAUUGACAGCGCGCCGAAGCUGUACCGGAAGGCGCAGUGGAGUGCUGUGAAGAGAGAAUGCCGGAAUGAGUAGCGAGAGUAAGGUGAGAAUCCUUACGGCCGAAUAUCCGAGGUUUCCAGAGUAAAGCUGAUCUGCUCUGGGUAAGUCGGGACCUAAGGCGAGGUCGAAAGACGUAGCUGAUGGACAACAGGUUGAAAUUCCUGUACUACGGUAUGAAAGAAAUGUGGGGACGCAUGUGGAGAGCAUGAGCCGGGAAAGGAAAGACCGGUGCAAGCGGGACAGUAGCCAUGCAGGCAAAUCCGUGUGGCAAUACGAAGACGUGACGCGGACCGAAAUAAAGUAGGGAAGCAUGUGAGCCAUGUGCCAAGAAAAGCCGCUAUAGAUCAUACCGUACCCGUACCGUAAACCGACACAGGUAGAUGAGGAGAGAAUCCUAAGGCCGACGGGAGAAGCAUUGUUAAGGAACUCGGCAAAAUGACCCCGUAACUUCGGGAGAAGGGGUGCCCACGCGAGUGGGCCGCAGAGAAUAGGCUCAAGCAACUGUUUAGCAAAAACACAGGUCUAUGCGAAACCGAAAGGUGAGGUAUAUGGGCUGACGCCUGCCCGGUGCUGGAAGGUUAAGAGGAGGAGUCAGGCAACGAAGCUCCGAAUUUAAGCCCCAGUAAACGGCGGCCGUAACUAUAACGGUCCUAAGGUAGCGAAAUUCCUUGUCGGGUAAGUUCCGACCCGCACGAAAGGCGUAAUGAUUUGAGCACUGUCUCGACAAUGCACCCGGUGAAAUUGAAGUACCAGUGAAGAUGCUGGUUACCUGCGCCAGGACGGAAAGACCCCAUGGAGCUUUACUCCAGUUUGAUACUGGGAUUCGAUACUGAAUGUACAGGAUAGGUGGGAGGCUGAGAAGCGUGGACGCCAGUCUGCGGUGAGCCGCUGUUGGGAUACCACCCUUUGAGUAUUGGAUUUCUAACCUGCGCCCGUGACCCGGGCGGGGGACAAUGUCUGACGGGGAGUUUGACUGGGGCGGUCGCCUCCGAAAGGGUAUCGGAGGCGCUCAAGGGUUCCCUCAGAAUGGUUGGAAACCAUUCGCAGAGUGCAAAGGCAGAAGGGAGCUUGACUGUGACACCGACGGGUGGAGCAGGUACGAAAGUAGGACUUAGUGAUCCGGUGGUAUGAAAGUGGGAUUGCCAUCGCUCAACGGAUAAAAGCUACCCUGGGAUAACAGGCUUAUCACUCCCAAGAGUUCACAUCGACGGAGUGGUUUGGCACCUCGAUGUCGGCUCAUCGCAUCCUGGGGCUGUAGCAGGUCCCAAGGGUUGGGCUGUUCGCCCAUUAAAGCGGUACGCGAGCUGGGUUCAGAACGUCGUGAGACAGUUCGGUCCCUAUCCGGCGCAGGCGUAGGAUAUUC